CCUACAUGUGCUUGUACACCUGCAUGCUGAAAGUGAUCAUGCAGGCACAGCAGGCAAUGAAGAAGUGAAAUGAUAUGCUAGUCUUCACAGUGAGAGGAUUCAUGUACAGGAGCAGGGAUGCCUUCCUGUAAAUGUCGAGGGUAACCACACCUGGAGAACUAUCUGCAGUUUCGGUCUCCUUGUUUGAGGAAGGAUAUUCUAGUGAUUGAGGAAGUGUAAAGAAGAUUUGCUAGACUGAUUCCUGGACUGCUGGGGCUGAUGUCUGGAGAGUGACUGGAUUGAUUAGGACUGUAUUCACCGGAGUUAGAGGAAUGAGCAGUGAUCUCAUAGAUACCUAUCCAGUUUUAAUAGAUGGAGAAAGGAUGUUUCUGGGGAGUCCAGGAGACAGAGGAGUGCAGUUGAGAGUCAAUCAUGCUGCUGUGGGUCUAGAGUGAUAUAUAGACCAGACCACACAAGGAUGGCGAUUUUACUCCCCAAAAGACAUUAAUGAACCAGAGGCUGAAGUGGUGUUGCAGGGUGGUGGCUACAGCGUUGGUGGCAUGGAUCAAGACUCCUGGUGGUGUCCAGAGCCUGGAUUCUUGGUGGUGGUAGACUCAAAACUUGGAUUCCUGGCAGUGGUGGUGCUCAGAGUGGGAACUCCUGGCAACAGAAGCCUGGAGCUUGGACUCAUGGCAGUGUCGGAUGCCAGGAGAGCAGAGGUCUCCUGGAGCAUUGACGUCAUUCUUGCUGUUCCUGGAGUGGGACUCCUUGGCUUCUGGAAAACCUUAAAGACUUUGCUGAAGCCCUAAAACUAUGCUCGAGACCCCAAUUUGAAAAAAUGACAAACUCUUAUUUAAGAAAUUUCUUUUUAUCUUUAUUGUACCUCAAGAUAGUGCUGGAUUGUGGUGACAAAACACUUUUCACUGAUAUAUACGGUAAUAAAUUGUUCAUUCAAGGAAAUCCCAUAAAGACAAGAUAAGAUGUGCGACAUUAGUCAGUGUCGCAUUCAACAUAAUUUUUGCUCAUUCACUUUAAAAUCUUGCUAGUGUAGAAAUCCUUUCAUAUGUGUUAAUAGAGGUUAUUGCAACUGGACCAGAAAAUCCAUUAUUUGGUUGGUGCUCAUUUGGAUUGGAUUACAAGUACCAGAGGAUGAUGGCUCAAACUCACCAUCCACUAUUAAUGUUCUUAGAUGUCAGCCAGGGUUUCUGUUGAUUGCACUUUCAUCCAAGAAGAUAGUGACUUAGGUUGUCUGAUAUGAACACAAAAACCAAACCUGACACUCUGGUGCAGAACUGACUGUACACUGAGAUUUGUGGUGCCCUUUUUAAAAGGUAAGGCUUCAAACUCCCAUCUGCUCUCUCAACUGGGUGCAAAAGAUCCCAUGUUGUUACUUAGAAUAAAAGUUAGAGAAGUUCACUCCUGGUAUUCUGGUUAAUAUUGAUCCUUCAAAUCACAUUUCAUAUCACAUGGCCGAUUGGAGGAGCUGGAAAUGCACAAACUGAUAAUGCUGCAUUUCUGGAACACUAGUUGCUGCCCAUUGGGGCAUAUUCUUUGCAUACACAGUUGCAGUCUGUGAGCCAUCAUUACAUUCCAUUAGAAACAUUUGCAAUAACAACCUGUAGGAAAAGUUCACAACUGUUCACUCUCAAAAUUUGCAUCAUUAAAGAUGUUGAUACAAGCGAUCCAACAAUAUUCUGUAUGCUUUAGUAAUGUUAAAAAUGUGGGAGUCAAAAAGUUUAGCUGCAAA